UACGUAGGGUGCGAGCGUUGUCCGGAAUUACUGGGCGUAAAGCGCACGUAGGCGGAUCGAUCAGUCAGGGGUGAAAUCCCAGGGCUCAACCCUGGAACUGCCUUUGAUACUGUCGAUCUGGAGUAUGGAAGAGGUGAGUGGAAUUCCGAGUGUAGAGGUGAAAUUCGUAGAUAUUCGGAGGAACACCAGUGGCGAAGGCGGCUCACUGGUCCAUUACUGACGCUGAGGUGCGAAAGCCAGGGGAGCAAACGGG
rnacentral:rRNA from 1 species